AAUCAUUUGAUAACUAAUUCGAUGCACAUAAAAUCAUUCUUUUAUGGUUAAAAACAAUGAGAAACAUCUAUUUUUAAUCUAUAGAAUAAAAUCAAACAGACCUAUAAAUGCAAUUGCACGUGUUGGUUUAAUCUAUUUGUAUCUUUAUUUUUGUUUACAUCGCUUAUAUGGUCAUCUGAGGUCAAAUCGAUAGGUAAUUAGAUGGCGUCUGGACUAAAAUACACACGAAACGA
rnacentral:lncRNA from 1 species